rnacentral:rRNA from 1 species
CCUACGGGAGGCAGCAGUGGGGGAUAUUGCACAAUGGGCGCAAGCCUGAUGCAGCCAUGCCGCGUGUGUGAAGAAGGCCUUCGGGUUGUAAAGCACUUUCAGCGGGGAGGAAGGCGUUAAGGUUAAUAACCUUGUCGAUUGACGUUACCCGCAGAAGAAGCACCGGCUAACUCCGUGCCAGCAGCCGCGGUAAUACGGAGGGUGCAAGCGUUAAUCGGAAUUACUGGGCGUAAAGCGCACGCAGGCGGUCUGUCAAGUCGGAGGUGAAAUCCCCGGGCUCAACCUGGGAACUGCAUUCGAAACUGGCAGGCUAGAGUCUUGUAGAGGGGGGUAGAAUUCCAGGUGUAGCGGUGAAAUGCGUAGAGAUCUGGAGGAAUACCGGUGGCGAAGGCGGCCCCCUGGACAAAGACUGACGCUCAGGUGCGAAAGCGUGGGGAGCAAACAGGAUUAGAUACCCGAGUAGUC